AUCGCUUCUCGGCCUUUUGGCUAAGAUCAAGUGUAGUACGAAGCCCAAGGUUGUUAUGUGAAUGUUGUUAUGUUGUUACGUAAAAACCAAUUACACAAAACCUUUU
ensembl:snRNA U2 U2 spliceosomal RNA